AGCCAUGCAUGUCCGAGUACAUGCCGCACUAAGGCGAAACCGCGAAUGGCUCAUUAAAUCAGUUGUGGUUCCCUGGACCGAACAGUCCUACUUGGAUAACCGUGGCAAUUCUAGAGCUAAUACAUGCAGCAGAGCUCCGACCCUCGGGGACGAGCGCUUUUAUUAGACCAAAACCAAUCGGGCCUCGGGCCCGCGAAACGUGGUGACUCUGGAUAACCUUGGGCGGAUCGCACGGGCUCGUCCCGGCGACGCGUCCUUCGAGUGUCUGCCUUAUCAACUGUCGACGGCAGGCCACGCGCCUGCCGUGGUCGUAACGGGUGACGGGGAAUCAGGGUUCGAUUCCGGAGAGGGAGCCUGAGAAACGGCUACCACAUCCAAGGAAGGCAGCAGGCACGCAAAUUACCCAAUCCCGGCUCGGGGAGGUAGUGACGAAAAAUAACAAUACGGGACUCUUUUGAGACCCCGUAAUUGGAAUGAGCACACUCUAAGUCCUUUAACGAGUAUCCAUUGGAGGGAAAGUCUGAUGCCAGCAGCCGCGGUAAUUUCAGCUCCAAUGGCGUAUAUUAAAGUUGUUGCGGUUAAAAAGCUCGUAGUUGGAUCUCAGUUCCGGAGGGUUGGUCCGCCUACCGGCGGCACUUCCUCCUCCGAACACGUCGCCGGUUUGCCUCGAUGAUCUUCACCGGUUGUCUUGGCCGGCCGGCACUUUUACUUUGAAAAAAUUAGAGUGCUCAGAGCAGGCUGAGAGCCUGGAUAAUGGUGCAUGGAAUAAUGGAAUAGGACCCCGGUUCUAUGUUGUUGGUUUUCGGAACACGAGGUGAUGAUUAAGAGGGACAGACGGGGGCAUUCGUAUUGCGACGCUAGAGGUGAAAUUCUUGGACCGUCGCAAGACGAACUACUGCGAAAGCAUUUGCCAAGAAUGUUUCCAUUAAUCAAGAACGAAAGUUAGAGGUUCGAAGGCGAUCAGAUACCGCCCUAGUUCUAACCAUAAACGAUGCCAGCCAGCGAUCCGGCUGCGUUCCUCAAAUGACGCGCCGGGAAGCUUCCGGGAAACCAAAGCUUUUGGGUUCCGGGGGAAGUAUGGUUGCAAAGCUUAAACUUAAAGGAAUUGACGGAAGGGCACCACAAGCCAUGGAGCAUGCGGUUCAAUUUGACUCAACACGGGGAACCUUACCCAGCCCGGACACGGGAAGGAUUGACAGAUUAAGAGCUCUUUCUUGAUUCUGUGAGUGGUGGUGCAUGGCCGUUCUUAGUUGGUGGAGCGAUUUGUCUGCUUUAUUGCGAUAACGAACGAGACUCUAGCCUAUUAAAUAGCCGUUCCGAUCCUCUGGAGUCGGACGGUCUUCUUAGGGGGACAGGCGGCGACUAGCCGCACGAGACAGAGCAAUAACAGGUCUGUGAUGCCCUCAGAUGUCCGGGGCCACACGCGCGCUACAUUGAGGGGAUCAGCGUGUGCUUUCCCGGUCCGACAGGAUCGGGUAACCCGUUGAACCCCCCUCGUGCUGGGGAUAGGCGCUUGUAAUUCUUCCCCUUGAACGAGGAAUGCCUAGUAAGCGCGAGUCAUCAGCUCGUGUUGAUUAGGUCCCUGCCCUUUGUACACACCGCCCGUCGCUACAAGCGAUUGAACGGUUUAGUGAGGUCUUCGGACUGGCGGUCGGAUCGGCCCUUCCGGACCGCCCGGCCUGCCGGAAAGAUGACCGAACUUGAUCGUUUAGAGCAU
rnacentral:rRNA from 1 species